GUCAGAAGAUGUAACCAAAGAAAAUAAACAAAAUGACAAUAAUACAUAAAUAACAACAGACUACUAGCAGUUAACUGACAUGCCAGCUCCAGACUUCAACUAAACUGACUGAAAGAUUAUGAUUUCAUCAUAUGAACAUCAGGCACAAUCCUUCCCGUUAGGGGUUUAGUAUCAUACCAUCAUAAAAUAUAUGAGAAGAACAUAACCCGUGUCAUGCCAACAACUGUUUUUAGAAUAAAUGUGUUUAGUUCCGAUGCAAAGACCUUAUCAAUGACUCAAUAUUAACGCCAAAAUAUGCAAUCUUUAAUGACUUGACAACAGUAUCGUAAUUAUAUCCCUUCUUAAUAAGUCUAUUCAAAGGUUUUGUAAGUUUCUGAGGUGAAUACUGA
rnacentral:lncRNA from 1 species